ACAAAAUAGAGAACAAAAUGGUCGACGUUUGAAAAAUUAAUAAUAUUAAAAAAAAGAUAAACUGUGAAAAUAUCUCAAAAAUGACUUAUCUGAUGGAAAAUAAUUAGCAAGAAGGGCCGCUUAAAGCACGAAACAAGGGAUACCUAACAUCUGGAUAUAUAGUACAAAAUUUAAGAAUAUUAUCUAAAAAAAAGAUUAUUAUGUCACGCUAAAAGUGAUUCUCUCAGCAAAUGGUCUAAGGAUUCAAACUAAACAGGAUGGAUAGGUAUCUUAAAUUUUCAAAAUAUUACUAAAGCCAUCAGCGGUAGUUGUCAAGAAUGAGGAAGAAAAUGACAAAUUAUUGAAAUGUUAAGAAGAGAUAUUAAACCGAGACCACAAAUCUAUUUUGAAUGCAGUUUGGACAACUAUGAUUUUUAUAUGAAAAAUUGUAUUACCGUGUU